GAGAACCAGAACAAGGGGAAAUUUGGCUACCAACAUGCCUGGGAGGCAGUCAUGGCCACUGAAGAGGAAAUUGAGAACCAAAGAGACUGCAUAAUUUCUAGCAAGUUGAAUCUCCUUGCACCAAAAACCUCUUUUCUUCCUUAGGAAAUUCCCAGAUGAUUAAGAUGAUCAGGGUACGCUUCUCUAGGACGUCACUUGAGAUGUGUAUAUGGAAUAAUCCUGUGGCACAGGAAUUGUUGGUCAUAUUUAACAUGGCAUGAACCUGAAGCCCAGAGAGCAUGGCUAUGUUCACAAAGUAAGUAUGCUGCAGUGCUGAGAUUCAGAACUCAGAAACAUGCGAUUCUUAUUCCCUUUUCUUCCCACCACACUUGAUUAUCUCCCCGAAGCUGGCACAGGUCUUCCCAUCAUUUUGCAUUUUAGCCCCAACAAGUAUAAGCCCGUGGCUGUAGGAUUAGUGGGUCAGAUACGAAGUGUGUUCGGUCUUCCCCUUAUGGUCUCUGACUCAAAUGUGGACAGGGUCACCUAUGGGUGAGUGUGGGUUGUUCUCAAGAACAGGGGAUAUCUUUCUUCAGCACAGCGGUCAUGGUAACCCCCGGUAGCAUAAGGUGUGCACAGGGCCAUGGGGACAAAUAUUGGAGUAGGGUUCUCCCCUUCGUAUUAAAGGCUUCUCUUCUUUCUUCUUCUCUUUCUCCUCCUCCUCCUUCUCCUUCUUCUCUUAACCAUA